rnacentral:tRNA from 2 species
GCAGUCGUGGCCGAGUGGUUAAGGCGAUGGACUAGAAAUCCACUAGGGGUUUCCCCGCACAGGUUCGAAUCCUGUCGACUGCG